rnacentral:misc_RNA from 1 species
CCGUAGUUUACACAACUCCCAACCCCUGUGAACAUACCUAUACGUUGCCUCGGCGUGAUCAGCCCGCGCCCCGUAAAAAGGGACGGCACCGCCCGAGGACCCCUAAACUCUGUUUUUAGUGGAACUUUCUGAGUAAAACAAACAAAUAAAUC